CUACAGUCCAAGGGGUCGCAAAGAGUCAGACACGACUGAGUGACUACCAUACUUCACAGAGGUUUGGAAAGGCUCUCAGACAAGACCCUCCACCUGCUGGUUCCCAGCAGCAUCAGACUUACAAAAUUCCUCCAACUGGAAAACCCAACACAAAGAGCAAUAUUUUUCUUAAUGAUUCUCAGAACUGACUCUCAUUAGGCUGUCCUGACUCAGAUGCUUGUACUGCAACCAAUCAGAGUGAUCAAAAGAACAGAGUGACCUGCUUGGCCAGGCCUGGAAGAUGCUUUUAUUCCCAUAGUUGGCACAGACCAAUAGUGAAUGAUACAGUGUGGGUUAGAUGUGGUUCUUCCCGAAGGUAAUUGAGGUGCAGCUGCCCAGUGAAGGAGGAAUUGAGGCAGGGCAGGCAAAAGCAGUCUGUCCAUUAUGUUCCUUUCAAAUGAGCAUGAACAUAGACACAUGAGGCAUGAAAUAAAUAAAAAGAGGACGUUUCUCAUUAGAUGGUCCAGGGGGAGAGGAGGAAGGAUCCAGAGACCUGAUGAUUCAGACACUCCUCUCAACUCUGAGGGAAGCUGUCCAUCUGUCCUGAUUUUUCUGAGAUGAUCCUGAUUUGUGUCUGUUGUCCAGGGUAAUUACUAAUGGCACCCCUUUUACUCUCAAAAGUGUUCUGGUUUGCUUAUUAAAAUUUGAGGUUGCCAGAUCUUGGGGAAUCUCUAAAAUCUAUUAUUGUUGAUCAGACACAAUUGCAAAACUCUUAAUGUACACCAUGGCAUUCAUCUUAAUAAAUGCUUCCGAGUUUCACC